rnacentral:lncRNA from 1 species
UUAAUUCCAAAUUUAGUGGUUAAAAUGAAAAUCGGGCUAUAUCAUGCAUCUUUCGAGUUUAGACAGAUUCAAUCAUAUGGUGUCAAAAUUGGACACGAUCUGUCUCAAAAGUUAUUCCAAAUACAAUUUCAACAAAUUUAUUAGGCAAUUAAAACUAUCAAGAAAAGACAGAUAUAUUGCUGUCAAAAGAAUAAAUUUGAAUGCUGUGAUUCACACUGGACAAUGAUCAUCGAUUCUCAUGAGAGCAGACAAGUAAAUGAUAAUACAAGAGAAGUCAAAGUAAGUUACCUCUUCCUUGUCUUUAGAUAUCAAAAUCAUCUUAAAUGCACUAUUACUGGUUUUUCGUUUUCUAUGAUAAUCCAAGCAGAAACGUUGUCUUCUUCCAUUUUGGACAAAAUAGGGAAGUAUGUUGUUUCCCCUUUGUAGUUUAGCUGUUUUCUUGGAUUCUUCGUCAUUGCGAAGGUCAUUUCUUAGGCUUUUAUUUUGUAUGGCAGAUUCUUUUUUGGCUUUGAGCUGUCUCUCUGUUGUGAGAAUUGCUGAAUGGAGUUGUCUGAUGGAAGUUGAUAAUCGUAAGUUUCUAUGGAACGGAUCUCAUUUGAUACUAAUAUUUUUCUAAUUAAUGAUUUAUGUUGUUGACAUGAUAAUUGCGAAAUGUUUGGAUUAUUGGAUCUUUUUCAUCAUUUUUUUAUAGGUCAAAAUGUGUGACGUUUAUAGUUUUUCUUUACGAGUUCUGUAUGGGUCAAAAUCUUGCUGAGGAAGUUGGGCGUGGACAGAAUGUAAAGUGAAAAACUGUGUCCCGAGUCGGGCAGAUGAGACGAGGUCGACCAAAGCUUAAUAACAAGCAGUCGCAGAGCGAGUCGUAGUAGUCGAGGUCGAAUAGCGAAAGAUAGGAAUAGCGGCUAGUAUAGUCUUGGGACUAGUGACAUGAAUAUUCUUCUGGAUAUUCCCUUUGUUGUACUUUUUAGGAUUUUUAGAGAAUAUCUCAUAUAAAGAAAAAGGGAGAGAGAAGAAAAAGGACACGUGAGAUUGAAUCUGAGAACACUAUUGUAAGAAGUUGACUAUAGAGAGAAUAUACAAAGUUCAC